rnacentral:rRNA from 1 species
UACAGAGGGUGCGAGCGUUAAUCGGAAUUACUGGGCGUAAAGCGUGCGUAGACGGUUAUUUAAGUCGGGUGUGAAAGCCCCGGGCUCAACCUGGGAAUUGCAUUCGAGACUGAAUAGCUAGGGUACGGUAGAGGGAAGUGGAAUUUCCGGUGUAGCGGUGAAAUGCGUAGAUAUCGGAAGGAACAUCAGUGGCGAAAGCGACUUCCUGGACCAGUACCGACGUUCAGGCAUGAAAGCGUGGGGAGCAAACAGG